rnacentral:rRNA from 1 species
AGAGUUUGAUCAUGGCUCAGAACGAACGCUGGCGGCAGGCUUAACACAUGCAAGUCGAACGCGUGUAGCAAUACACGAGUGGCGCACGGGUGAGUAACGCGUGGAUAUCUGCCUUUUGGUUCGGAAUAACCCCGGGAAACUGGGGCUAAUACCGGAUGGUUCCUUCGGGAUAAAGAUUUAUCGCCAAAAGAUGAGUCCGCGUACGAUUAGCUAGUUGGUGAGGUAAUGGCUCACCAAGGCGACGAUCGUUAGCUGGUCUGAGAGGACGAUCAGCCACACUGGGACUGAGACACGGCCCAGACUCCUACGGGAGGCAGCAGUGGGGAAUAUUGGACAAUGGGGGCAACCCUGAUCCAGCCAUGCCGCGUGAGUGAUGAAGGCCUUCGGGUUGUAAAGCUCUUUUGGCGGGGACGAUGAUGACGGUACCCGCAGAAUAAGCCCCGGCUAACUUCGUGCCAGCAGCCGCGGUAAGACGAAGGGGGCUAGCGUUGUUCGGAAUUACUGGGCGUAAAGCGCGUGUAGGCGGUUGUUCAAGUCGGGUGUGAAAGCCUUGAGCUCAACUCAAGAAAUGCACUCGGUACUGGAUGACUAGAGGACCGGAGAGGAUAGUGGAAUUCCCAGUGUAGUGGUGAAAUACGUAGAGAUUGGGAAGAACACCAGUGGCGAAGGCGGCUAUCUGGACGGUUUCUGACGCUAAGACGCGAAAGCGUGGGGAGCAAACAGGAUUAGAUACCCUAGUAGUCC